rnacentral:rRNA from 1 species
AGCGUAUAUUAAAGUUGUUGCAGUUAAAAAGCUCGUAGUUGAAUUUCGGGAUUAAUAUGUUGGUCGUGCCUUGGUACGUACUGGUAUUAUUGAUUCCUACCUUCUGAAGAACCUCGAUGUCAUUAAUUUGGUGUCUUGGGGAAUCAGGACCGUUACUUUGAAAAAAUUAGAGUGUUUAAAGCAGGCUCGCGCUUGAAUACAUUAGCAUGGAAUAAUGAAAUAGGACGUUUGAUUCUAUUUUGUUGGUUUCUAGGAUCGACGUAAUGAUUAAUAGGGAUAGUUGGGGGCAUUAGUAUUCAAUUGUCAGAGGUGAAAUUCUCGGAUUUAUUGAAGACUGACUACUGCGAAAGCAUUUGCCAAGGAUGUUUUCAUUAAUCAAGAACGAAAGUUAGGGGAUCGAAGACGAUCAGAUACCGUCGUAGUCUUAACCAUAAACCAUGCCGACUAGGGAUCGGAUGAUGUUAAUUUUUUAAUGACUCAUUC